GGAGGUGCGCACGGCUGGCGCGCUUAUCGGUCUUGAAAACCGUGAUGGCCCCGCAAGGGCCGUGGGAGUUCGAUCCUCUCCGCCUCCGCCA
rnacentral:tRNA from 1 species